rnacentral:rRNA from 1 species
GUACCGCAAGAAUAAGCCCCGGCUAACUUCGUGCCAGCAGCCGCGGUAAUACGAAGGGGGCUAGCGUUGCUCGGAAUCACUGGGCGUAAAGGGUGCGUAGGCGGGUCUUUAAGUCAGGGGUGAAAUCCUGGAGCUCAACUCCAGAACUGCCUUUGAUACUGAAGAUCUUGAGUUCGGGAGAGGUGAGUGGAACUGCGAGUGUAGAGGUGAAAUUCGUAGAUAUUCGCAAGAACACCAGUGGCGAAGGCGGCUCACUGGCCCGAUACUGACGCUGAGGCACGAAAGCGUGGGGAGCAAACAGGAUUAGAUACCCUGAUAGUCCACGCCGUAAACGAUGAAUGCCAGCCGUUAG